UACGAAGGGUGCAAGCGUUAAUCGGAAUUACUGGGCGUAAAGGGUGCGUAGGCGGUUCGUUAAGUCUGUUGUGAAAUCCCCGGGCUCAACCUGGGAAUGGCAAUGGAUACUGGCGAGCUAGAGUGUGAUAGAGGAUGGUGGAAUUCCCGGUGUAGCGGUGAAAUGCGUAGAGAUCGGGAAGAACAUCAGUGGCGAAGGCGGCCAUCUGGAUCAACACUGACGCUGAAGCACGAAAGCGUGGGGAGCAAACAGG
rnacentral:rRNA from 1 species